rnacentral:rRNA from 1 species
GGAUCAAUAUGUCGGUCGCGCUUCGGUACGUACUGGUAUCAUUGGUUUCUCCUUUCUGACGAACCAUGAUGUCAUUAAUUUGGUGUUGCGGGGAAUUUGGACUGUUACUUUGAAAAAAUUAGAGUGUUUAAAGCAAGCUAACGCUUGAAUACAUUAGCAUGGAAUAAUGAAAUAGGACGUUCGAUCCUAUUUUGUUGGUUCCUAGGAUUGACGUA